AUGUGCUGCCCCCAAUCUCUCGUACAGCUCGGGUUUGGAGGCGGAGGCCAAGGGGGAGGAGGCGCAGGCGCUGUAGCUCGCGGACAAGUCGAGGAACUGCCCCACGGCGCGAGCGGCGAGACUAAGACGUUCUCCCUCUUUGCCUUGCUCCGCCGUCCCCAUCAAGAAUCACCGGUCCCUUCUCUCCAACUCGGGAGGCGCCGCAGCGUAGCAGAGGUACUCCGAGCGCCGCUGCUGAUGGACGCCGUCGCCACAUCCCAUCCUCUUUCGCCUCGCACUCAGGUCCUUUCGGUCUCCACUGCCUCGCAUCUUCUACCCCGGUCGGACGCGACCCCUAGGUCAUCGGCUGCAGGUAGUCCAUCAGAUUCAUUCAGGCUCGAUUCAUGUUUCUCUUUCUGUUAA
rnacentral:rRNA from 1 species